GAUGAACGCUGGCGGCGUGGAUAAGGCAUGCAAGUCGUACGGUCGAGCACAUAACUUGUUAUGGGCUCGAUAGUGGCGAACGGGUUAGUAACACGUAGAUACAAACCCUAUUCAUGAGUAUAACUAAUCGAAAGAUUAGCUAAUCCUCAAUGGUCUGAGCAUAUAAUUUUAUUAUGUGCUCAGUAAAGGUUUCGCAAGAAGCCGGAAUAGGAUUGGUCUGCGGCCUAUCAGCUAGUUGGUGAGGUAAUAGCUCACCAAGGCGAUGACGGGUAGGGGAGAUGAGAGUCUGUUCCCCAACAAGGGCACUGCGACACGGGCCCUACUCCUACGGGAGGCAGCAGUCGAGAAUAUUGGGCAAUGGGCGAAAGCCUGACCCUGCGACGCCGCGUGCUCGAAGAAGCCCUUCGGGGUGUAAAGAGCUUUUCUAAGGGAAGAACCUUCGGGUGACGGUACCUUAGGAAUAAGGGGGUGCUAACUCUGUGCCAGCAGCAGCGGUAAUACAGAGCCCCCAAGCGUUAUCCGGAUUUAUUGGGCGUAAAGAGUCUGUAGGCGCCCCGUCAGGUUUUCUGUUAAAUCUCUAGGGCUUAACCUUAGAGCUGCAGAAAAAACCGGCGGGGUAGAGGGCGUUAGAGGCUGAUGGAAUGGUCGGUGUAGGGGUGAAAUCCGUUGAUAUCGACCGGAACACCAAAUGCGAAGGCAUUCAGCUGGGGCGACCCUGACGCUGAGAGACG
rnacentral:rRNA from 1 species